AGUACAUCAGAAGACGCGCACUUGAACAGUCAUUUUUACGGCUAGUUCAGCAAGAGUCCGAAAAAAGCGAAGAGAAAACAGUUUACAGUGUUUUACUGCGUUUUACUUAUGUCGAUAUUGUGUUCUACUGCAACAGCAAUGGCUAACAGCUCAACAGAAACACAACCAAACACUAUGAAGAACAGCCUUCGUGCAUUCUUCAGGAAUAUAUGGCUGGCUGUACAAAACGCCAAUCAGUCCGGAAGUCGAGGCAGUAAAGUGUCUCCUUUUCAGCCUCCGUCUGAGACAGAACCAGCGGCUCCACAGCCAGGCCCAUCAACAGAUGAUCCUCAGCCUGCUCUGUCCAGCUUUGAGUCUCUGGCUGUAGACGAUCAGACUGAUCCUCAGUCUUGUCUGUCCAGCUUUGAGCCUCAGGCUGUAGACGAUCAGACUGAUCUCCAGCUUAGUCCAUCCAGCAACAAGCCAGCAAACUUUGAAGGAAAUCCAUCCAUUGGAGAACCAGCUAAAGAAACUCAACCAAAAAGAAAGAAGAACAGCCUUCAUGCAUUCUUCAAAAGGAAAUGGCUGUCUGUACAAAAAAG
rnacentral:lncRNA from 1 species